rnacentral:misc_RNA from 1 species
UACGAAGGGUGCAAGCGUUACUCGGAUUUACUGGGCGUAAAGCGCGCGCAGGCGGACAAUUAAGCCAGAUGUGAAAUCCCGGGGCUCAACCUCGGAACAGCGUCUGGAACUGAUUGUCUAGAAUAUUGGAGAGGAAAUGGGAAUUUCUCAUGUAGGGGUAAAAUCCGUAGAGAUGAGAAGGAACACCAGAGGCGAAGGCGCAUUUCUGGCCAAUUAUUGACGCUGAGGCACGAAAGCGUGGGGAUCAAACAGG